rnacentral:rRNA from 1 species
GACGAACGCUGGCGGCGUGCUUAACACAUGCAAGUCGAACGAUGAACCCGGAGCUUGCUCCGGCGGAUUAGUGGCGAACGGGUGAGUAACACGUGAGUAACCUGCCCUUGACUCUGGGAUAACUGCGGGAAACUGUAGCUAAUACCGGAUACGACCCUCGGCGGCAUCGCCAGGGGGUGGAAAGAAUUUCGGUCAAGGAUGGACUCGGGGCCGAUCAGCUAGUUGGUGAGGUAACGGCUCACCAAGGCGACGACGGGUAGCCGGCCUGAGAGGGUGACCGGCCACGCUGGGACUGAGACACGGCCCAGACUCCUACGGGAGGCAGCAGUGGGGAAUAUUGCACAAUGGGCGCAAGCCUGAUGCAGCAACGCCGCGUGAGGGAUGACGGCCUUCGGGUUGUAAACCUCUUUUAGUAGGGAAGAAGCGAAAGUGACGGUACCUGCAGAAAAAGCACCGGCUAACUACGUGCCAGCCGCCGCCGUAA